UUCUGGGAGGAUUGACAGAUUGAGAGCUCUUUCUUAAUUUGGUGGAUGGUGGUGCAUAUCCGCUCUUAGUUGGUGGAGCGAUCUGUCUGGUUAAUUCCGAUAACAAAUGGAACUCUAGUCUAUUAAAUAAGUGCGUGGUUCUCUGCACCUUGCAUCCUUCUCAGAGGGACUAAGCGGCUCCUAGCCGCACGAAACAGAGCAAUAACAGGUCUGUGAUGUCCUUAAAU
rnacentral:ncRNA from 2 species